rnacentral:tRNA from 1 species
GGGUGCUUAGCUCAGCUGGUAGAGCGGCGCCCUUACAAGGCGUAGGUCAGCGGUUCGAUCCCGUUAGCACCCACCA